UUUGAAAUCCGGCUUUCGGGCCCGACUUGUAAUCUGCAGAUGAGUCUUUUGGUAAAGCGCCGUCCAAGUUCCCUGGAACGGGACGCCGGAGAGGGUGAGAGCCCCGUACCGACGUGCGCCUAGCCUUUGCAAAGCUCAUUCGAAGAGUCGAGUAGUUUGGAAAUGCUGCUCUAAUUGUGGGGUAAAUCUCCCAUAAGGCUAAAUACUGGCCAGAGACCGAUAGCGCACAAGUAGCGUGAGCGAAAGAUGAAAAGAGCCUUGAACAAGGGCGUCAAAAAGCAUGUGAAAUUGUUAUGGGGGAAGCGCUCAAUGCCAGACGUGGUGGUGGCUGGUUACCCGGCGUUCUUCGCCGGCGCACUCGGUCGCCGCCAGGCCAGCAUCAGUUCGGCCCGGGGCCCACUGCCGCUCGGAACGUGGCUCUUCGGAGUGUUAUAGCCUUGCGGUGACGUCCUGGACCGGACUGAGGAACGCGCAUCUGCCCGGAUGCUGGCUUAAUGGCUUUUAGCGACCCGUCUUGAAACACGGACCAAGGAGUUGACCUAGUAUGCGAGUGUUUGGGUGUAAAGCCCUCACGCGCAGUGAAAGCGAACGCAGGUGGGAGCUUCGGCGCACCAUCGACCGAUCCUGAAGUUUACGGAUGGAUUUGAGUAGGAGCAUACUGGGUCUGACCCGAAAGAAGGUGAACUAUGCAUGAAUAGGGUGAAGCCAGAGGAAACUCUGGUGGAGGCUCGCAGCGGUUCUGACGUGCAAAUCGAUCGUCAAAUUUGUGCAUGGGGGCGAAAGACCAAUCGAACCUUCUAGUAGCUGGUUCCUGCCG
rnacentral:rRNA from 1 species